rnacentral:rRNA from 1 species
UACGGAGGAUGCAAGCGUUAUCCGGAAUUAUUGGGCGUAAAGCGUCCGCAGGUGGUUUUGUAAGUCUGCUGUUAAAGCGUUAGGCUCAACCUAAUAAGGGCAGUGGAAACUAUGAGACUAGAGUAUGUUAGGGGUAGAGGGAAUUCCCAGUGUAGCGGUGAAAUGCGUAGAGAUUGGGAAGAACACCGGUGGCGAAAGCGCUCUGCUAGGACAAUACUGACACUGAGGGACGAAAGCUAGGGGAGCGAAUGGG